rnacentral:rRNA from 1 species
UGGGUAACCUGCCUCAAAGAGGGGAAUAGCCUCCCGAAAGGGAGAUUAAUACCGCAUAAUAUGUUUUAAUCGCAUGAUUGAAAUAUCAAAGGAUUUUUCUUCGGAAACUUCCACUUUGAGAUGGACCGCGGCGCAUUAGCUAGUUGGUGAGGUAACGGCCCACCAAGGCAACGAUGCGUAGCCGACCUGAGAGGGUGAUCGGCCACACUGGGACUGAGACACGGCCCAGACUCCGUAGGAGG